UACGGGGGGGGCAAGCGUUGUCCGGAUUUAUUGGGCGUAAAGAGCUCGUAGGCGGUUCGGUAAGUCGGGUGUGAAACCUCCAGGCUCAACCUGGAGAUGCCACCUGAUACUGCUGUGACUCGAGUCCGGUAGGGGAGCGUGGAAUUCCUGGUGUAGCGGUGAAAUGCGCAGAUAUCAGGAGGAACACCAGCGGCGAAGGCGGCGCUCUGGGCCGGAACUGACGCUGAGGAGCGAAAGCGUGGGUAGCAAACAGG
rnacentral:rRNA from 1 species